rnacentral:rRNA from 1 species
UACGUAGGGUGCGAGCGUUAAUCGGAAUUACUGGGCGUAAAGCGUGCGCAGGCGGUUUUGUAAGCCAGAUGUGAAAUCCCCGGGCUUAACCUGGGAAUGGCAUUUGGGACUGCAAGGCUGGAGUGCGGCAGAGGAGACUGGAAUUCCUGGUGUAGCAGUGAAAUGCGUAGAUAUCUGGAGGAACACCGGUGGCGAAGGCGGCAUCCUGGACCAACACUGACACUGAGGAGCGAAAGCCAGGGGAGCAAACGGG